UCCCUGGUGGCUCAGACGAUAAAGCGUCUGCCUGCAAUGCAGGAGUCCUGGGUUGGAUCCCUGGGUUGGGAA
rnacentral:tRNA from 1 species